GCUGGGUGCGGUGGCGUGUGCCUGUAAUCCCAGCUACUUGGGAGGCUGAGGCAGGAGAAUUGCUUGAACCCAGGAGGCAGAGGUUGCAGUGCGUGGAGAUCACGCCACUGCACUCCAGCCUGAGUGACAGAGCAAAAUUCCGUCUCGG
rnacentral:SRP_RNA from 2 species